rnacentral:lncRNA from 1 species
GAUCCUGCGGGGCAGCGCCCUCACCGGGUCGGCUCUGGCGGCACUGGCGGAGUCGUAGUGCAGGGUGAUAAACGAGGGGGGCCUGCCGGCCAUCACCACCACGUGGCAGGUGCGUGUGUGUGUAUCUGUGUGUGUGUGUCUGUUUGUGUGUCUGUGUGUGUAUCUGUGUGUGUAUCUGUGUGUAUGUGUUUGUUUGUGCGUGGGUGUGGGUAUGCAAAAGUCUGUGUGAACGUGCGUGUGCUUCGUCGCGGAUUUCGUCGCGGCCUGAUUGAGAUCUUGGUUGUCAGAGAACUUUUUCAGACCCCUGGUAUCUUUUCCCCUCCCCCACUCCUUUUCCCCCCGCCCAUCCCUUUUUGGCCCCCCACUCCAACCCCUGUCUUGCCGUACCUCCAGAGCGUCGUACAAUCCGAGUGCCGGCGUGCGUUAGAUGCGGCUGCUGACUUGUAUAGGGCCCGGCUGGAGUCCGUCCGGGCGAGGGAGGUAGGCGAUAUUGGGAGGGGGUGAAGGAAAGGGCGAGUGGGUGAGUGGGUGGGGUUUCUUCCACGAGGCGUCUGUCUGUAUAUCUGUCCAUCCGUAUGCCACCGCCGUUGCAGAGGCGCGGGAAGUAUGUGACACGGCCAUCAUCAUCCGGCCGCGCGGAUAAUCCACCCCAACACCCCACACACGCACACCCAGGCGC